rfam:Neotoma lepida isolate 417 scaffold_1028, whole genome shotgun sequence.
UAGCUCAGAGGUUAAGAGCACUGGCUGCUCUUCCAGAGGUCCUGGGUUCAAUUCCCAG